UACAGAGGUCUCAAGCGUUGUUCGGAUUCAUUGGGCGUGAAAGGUGCGUAGGCGGCGCGGUAAGUCGGGUGUGAAAUCUUGGAGCUUAACUCCGAAACUGCAUUCGAUACUGCCGUGCUUGAGGACUGGAGAGGAGACUGGAAUUUACGGUGUAGCGGUGAAAUGCGUAGAUAUCGUAAGGAAGACCAGUGGCGAAGGCGGGUCUCUGGACAGUUCCUGACGCUGAGGAGCGAAAGCGUGGGGAGCGAACAGG
rnacentral:rRNA from 1 species